CGCGUAGGCGGCCGAAUAAGUCAGAUGUGAAAGCCCGGGGCUCAACCCCGGAAGUGCAUUUGAAACUGUUUGGCUUGAGUAUGGUAGAGGGAAGUGGAAUUCCAGGUGUAGCGGUGAAAUGCGUAGAUAUCUGGAGGAACACCGGUGGCGAAGGCGACUUCCUGGACCAAUACUGACGCUGAGGCGCGAAGGUGUGGGCAGCAAACAGGAUUAGAUACCCUGGUAGUCC
rnacentral:rRNA from 1 species